rnacentral:miRNA from 1 species
CCCAGUUAAACUGCAAUUUCCAGCAAAUCAUGAAUAUCUUUUUAGGAUAAGUAUGUCCCAUGUAGUACUUGGGACUUACUUACACUAGAAAAUUAUUUGUCAUUUAUCUGAAACUCAAAUUUAAUUGGUCAU